GCCAGCGUAGCUCAACCGGUAGAGCGGCGCAUUCGUAAUGCGUAGGUUGUGGGUUCGAGUCCCACCGCUGGCUCCA
rnacentral:tRNA from 3 species